rnacentral:rRNA from 1 species
GAAUCUUCCGCAAUGGACGAAAGUCUGACGGAGCAACGCCGCGUGAUUGAUGAAGGUUUUCGGAUCGUAAAGCUCUGUUGCCAGGGAAAAACGCUUGGGAGAGUAACUGAUCUUAAGGUGACGUGACCGGAGAAGAAAGCCCCGGCUAACUACGUGCAAGCAGCCGCGGUAAUAAGGAGGGGGCAAGAGUUGUCCGGAAUUAUUGGGCGGAAUGGGCGGGCAGGCGGUUCAUUAAGUCUGGUGUUUAAGGCUAGGGCUCAACCCUGGUUCGCACUGGAAACUGUUGAACUUGAGUGAAGAAGAGGAAAGUGGAAGUCCACGUGUAGCGGUGAAAUGCGUAGAGAUGUGGAGGAACACCAGUGGCGAAGGCGACUUUCUGGGCUGUAACUGACGCUGAGGCGCGAAAGCGUGGGGAGCAAACA